GCCAGUGUGGCAUAGUGGUUUGAGUAUUGAACUACAACUCAGGAGACCAGGGUUCAAAACCCUGCUUGGAA